ACAAGAGAUUAAUAAGUUUCCCUUUUUUUGCUAAGGUUGAAUGCCAUCCGUAUCUUAAUCAAAAGAAACUUGCUGAAUUUUGCAAAUCAGAAGGAAUCACGAUCACCGCGUACAGUCCACUUGGAUGUCCGGAUAAUCCGUGGGCAAAACCAGACGAUCCAAAGUUAUUGGAUGACGCUAAACUAAAAACCAUUGCCGACAAGUAUAAGAAAACCCCUGCUCAAGUAAUAAUUAAAUGGCUAGCCCAAAGAGGCAUUAUUACCAUUCCAAAGUCAGUAAAUAAGAAGAGGAUUCAAGAGAACAUUGACGCGUUUGAUUUUCAACUGGCUUCAGAAGAUGCUAAAUAUGUCGACUCUUUCGACUGCAAUGGUAGAAUAUUCCCGUUUGAAUGGUCUACAACGCACCCCUAUUAUCCUUUCAACGAUGAGUACUAAGGAUUACUACUCCUUAAUUAACAGGCUUGUAUUUACUUGAAUGUUAAAAGACACCUACUUAAAUUAAAAAGCACUACAUGUAUCUUAUUCAUAUUAAUCAGAGUUAAUAAAGACAAUAAUUACUCAA